rnacentral:rRNA from 1 species
GUGGUCGAGCGGACGCUCCAGCAGGCGAUUGCCCGUGCGGUCGUCCCACUCUUGGAGUGGACGGUCCUCUGGUGGCGCCGUUGGCGAGGAUGCGUUCCGCGCGGGGUUCAGGCGGCUUGUGGCGAGUAGGUCGGUCACCCACCCGACCCGUCUUGAAACACGGACCAAGGAGUCUAACAUGUGCGCGAGUCACGGGGUCUUGUUCAGGCCCAGAGGCGCAAUGAAAGUGAAGGUCGACCUCGACGUCGGCCGUGUUGGGACUCUCCGCCCUCGCGGCGGGGAAGCACCAACGACCCGUCCUAUCCGAUUCAUCGGUUGGGCGGAGUGUGAGCGUACACGUUGGGACCCGAAAGAUGGUGAACUAUGCCUGGGCAGGACGAAGCCAGAGGAAACUCUGGUGGAGGUCCGUAGCGGUU